UCCAUGCAAUUAGCAUUUGCUUUGUCAGCAGACAAUAAAACAAAAUCAGGAUUUACAACAAUUUUACUAGGUAAAUCAAAAUGCCACGUAUAGUUUAUCAAGCAGCUAACUAUUUAACUUAAUAAUGAUAUUAACCAAAUUUGUGAUCAAUUCUUACUGUAAACGCCCAUAAUGCAUUAAAUCAUGGCUGCCAUAAAUCUAAGAGUGUCUGGAUGAUUAAAUUAUAAUUUUGCACUUCCCUGAUCUCCCCAUCCCCAGGG